AUUAUGAUUAAAAAAUAUUUAAUUUUUUUUUUUUUUUUUGUUCUAGCUUUAUAAAAAACCCUGAACAUUUAAUUAAAGGUUCUCCAUACUGUAACUAUAAGUCUUAAAAUAUUUAUAUAUAAUUACUUUUACAGUCAUUCGAAAUUAAAAUUUGGAAAAAUUACAUACUCGAUGAAUCUUUACAUUAUUUUGUAAUAAUUUUAAAACGUUAUUUGUGAAGUUUUUAAUAUUCGUAUGUAUUUUUUAUAUUAACUUAAUUAAUAAGUUUAAAAAAAAUAAGUUAACUUGCCCAGCCUUGCCGAUUUGUUGGUAUAUUAAUUACGAGGUUUGUGAUGGAUUUAAGCCCAAAAUAAUAUUAUGGCAGCAUUUCAGUUUAUACACCGACGCGACGGCGCCACGAGAACUGCUUUUUGUACCAAUGUAGCCGGACAUAAGUCAGCUGAUCUAAAAACAAAUAUAUAAUACAUUUUUCUUAGUAUUAUAGUAUUUAAUUUUAAUUUAUUGAUUUUUACAUUUUGUGUUGGCUAUUGAUUAAUGAUUAUGUAUUUGUAUAUUUUGUAGUAUUGCCGCAUUUAAACAUUAAAUUGUUCGUUAAUUCGAAUUUUAUUUAACUCGUAGGUUAUUCGGAUAAAUGUCUGUAAGGUGUGUCAUGCCAUUCGGGCAGUUCCCUUAAAGAGAUGUUGAAAUGCAAAUAGGAUUUUUUUGUCGUAAGAUUCAAAUGCAGUCAAAUUAAAAACUUAAUACUAUUAAGACACCAAUAUUUUUGCUUGUACUCAAUAUACCUAAUUGAAUAAUUCACAAAACAAUCUACAAUCUACAUUGGAUGGUUAGAAUGGCAAUUAGUUGCGUCCCGCUGUAAAAGUUUUUUAAGGUACAUACAAAUUGCGGCCCAAAUUUUAUUAAUUAAACAUUUGUUGAAUAUUAAAAUUAUAAUAUACUCUAAACUUUUCUCACUAUACGUCGGUUUAAUUCCAUUCGUUAUUAGAAUAGGUACAUUGAAAACAUAAACAAAAUCAAAAUUGAAAUCCGUAUCCGGUAAAACGUAAUUAUAGUAUAGUAAACAUAGUAGGUAAUAAAAUUAUCUUGAUACAUUAUAUAACCUAUAUUAUGAAUGCUGACUUUGAAUUAUAUACAAUGGAUGGAUCCAUGUCCUAUCUUGGCUGUGUUAUACAUACGAAUGCGCAGAUCGCACCUCUCAUCACGAGACUCGUUACUUAUAUAAGCUGAUAAACAACAUCAUUCUGCAUUGACGCGGUGCAACAUAACACAAACUUCGAUCUUUUGUCAUAGCCUGUUUCCACAGAAUGUGGAUCGACCAAAAUAUCAAUACAUUGUCCCUUUGAUCACGGACUAAGCCAUAUGAUAAUCCUGAAGCAUCUGGUACCAUCGUUUCACCUCUAACUAUAUGUCCCCGUACGACGAACUCGAAGCACUACAAUAAGUCGAAGUCCAAUUUCCGACUAUCUAUUGGGCGACUGUUCGCUGAAGUUCAACGACGGAUGGUUAAAAGUAGAUCUAGAAUUUUUAUGCAAAGGCAUCUUUUUUUUGGUGUUUUGAAACGUUGACCCGUAAGUAUAAAAUGUGUUUUGAGUGAUACUGAUUAUUUCAAAGUAUUUUUUUUUGCAUUUUUUGACAAAAUUAACCUUUAAUAAAAUUGUUGACAGUUUUAGUGAAUUUUUUAGACCAUUUUUCACAAUUUGUUCCUAAAAUAAACGAAAAUUGUUGCGAUUAACAAGAGACUUUCGUCAAACUGCCGGCGGUACGAAUAAUAAAUUAAAUAAGCACGAUAACUAUGACUGAAUUAGUAAUCAAUUAGUACGUCUAAAAUAUACAAGUAACAAAUACUAUAAGUCUAUAACACUAAAAAAUAUACAAUUUUUUUUCAAUUUUUAAGCUAUAAUAAAUUUAAUUUAAUACAUUUUACUAUUUAGUACUUUUAAAUUUUUUUAAGGGAAUUUUUAAAAAAAAAAUUAGAGCAUUAAAAUCCCUGCCUUAGUUAUAUUAUUUAGAAACUGACAAAUGUACCUUAUUCAAUUUUCGUUGAUUACGUAGUAUAUUAUUAAUUAUUAUUUGAACAAUAAAAAAAUAAUGAAUAAUAGUUAUAAAUACGUAGUACAUUUUCAUUAAAUAAGUUAACGUAAAAUUAUUUGUACUCAAAAAUAAUUUAAAAUUAAUUAUAGGUACAUCGUACCUACAUAUAUGAUAUAAGUAAUACAAUUUACAAUACAAACCAUGUU